UACGUAGGGGGCAAGCGUUGUCCGGAUUUACUGGGUGUAAAGGGCGUGCAGCCGGAGAGACAAGUCAGAUGUGAAAUCCGCAGGCUCAACCUGCGAACUGCAUUUGAAACUGUUUCCCUUGAGUAUCGGAGAGGUCAUCGGAAUUCCUAGUGUAGCGGUGAAAUGCGUAGAUAUUAGGAAGAACACCAGUGGCGAAGGCGGAUGACUGGACGACAACUGACGGUGAGGCGCGAAAGCGUGGGGAGCAAACAGG
rnacentral:rRNA from 1 species